UGGGGUAUCGCCAAGCGGUAAGGCACCGGUUUUUGAUACCGGCAUUCCCAGGUUCGAAUCCAGGUACCCCAGCCA
rnacentral:tRNA from 4 species